rnacentral:piRNA from 1 species
UUCGAGUGAAGAAUGAGAUAAGUCCUAAGU